AUGCCACCAUCUCAUCAGCAAGACAAAGAUGCAUGUUUCCCGGCUGGUCGGCAACCCGGAGCCCUAGGGUUUGCUGGGAAUCGAUGCAAGGAGAUUUGGUUCGGCUGGUCGCGUCGCACUUGCUGGCCGACGAUUUACUGGAUUACGUCCGCUUCCGUGCUGUCUGUGUGCAAUGGCGAUCAGAGACUCUCUCCCCGCGUGGCCAUGGCGUCGUCGAUCCACGUUUCCACCCGCGUCGCUGGACGAUGUUCCCCAAAGGCUGUGGCCUUUAUCCUGGGCACCCCGAGCUGGGUGACUACUCCGCUUCUUCAACCUAGACUCAUGUGUCUUUGUCCGCGUCCGCCUCCCACUGUUUACCAACCAUUGUAUUCUUGA
rnacentral:rRNA from 1 species